AUUGAACGCUGGCGGCAGGCUUAACACAUGCAAGUCGAGCGAGCGGCGGACGGGUGAGUAAUGUCUGGGAAACUGCCUGCUGGAGGGGGAUAACUACUGGAAACGGUCGCUAAUACCGCAUACCAUCAGAUGUGCCCAGAGGGGAUUAGCUAGUAGGUGGGGUAAUGGAUCACCUAGGCGACGAUCCCUAGCUGGUCUGAGAGGAUGACCAGCGACACGGGAACGGAGACACGGUCCAGACGCCUACGGUAGGCAGCAGUGGGGAAUAUUGCAAGAUGGGCGCAAGCCUGAUGCAGCCAUGCCGAGUGUGUGAAGAGGGCCUUCGGGUUGUAAAGCACUUUCAGCGAGGAGGCGUUACUCGCAGAAGAAGCACCGGCUAACUCCGUGCCAGCAGCCGCGGUAAUUC
rnacentral:rRNA from 1 species